rnacentral:rRNA from 1 species
UGGGGAAUAUUGCACAAUGGGCGCAAGCCUGAUGCAGCCAUGCCGCGUGUAUGAAGAAGGCCUUCGGGUUGUAAAGUACUUUCAGUCGGGAGGAAGGUGUCAAGGUUAAUAACCUUGGCAAUUGACGUUACCGACAGAAGAAGCACCGGCUAACUCCGUGCCAGCAGCCGCGGUAAUACGGAGGGUGCAAGCGUUAAUCGGAAUUACUGGGCGUAAAGCGCACGCAGGCGGUUGAUUGAGUCAGAUGUGAAAUCCCCGGGCUUAACCCGGGAACUGCAUUCGAAACUGGCAGGCUAGAGUCUUGUAGAGGGGGGUAGAAUUCCAGGUGUAGCGGUGAAAUGCGUAGAGAUCUGGAGGAAUACCGGUGGCGAAGGCGGCCCCCUGGACAAAGACUGACGCUCAGGUGCGAAAGCGUGGGGAGCAAACAGG